rnacentral:rRNA from 1 species
GACGAACGCUGGCGGCGUGCCUAAUACAUGCAAGUAGAACGCUUCAGGAGUAGCUUGCUUCUCCGGAUGAGUUGCGAACGGGUGAGUAACGCGUAGGUAACCUGCCUGGUAGCGUGGGAUAACUAUUGGAAACGAUAGCUAAUACCGCAUAACAGUAGAUGUUGCAUUACAUUUGCUUAAAAGGUGCAAUUACAUCACUACCAGAUGGACCUUGGUUGUAUUAGCUAGUUUGUGAGGUAACGGCUCACCAAGGCGACGAUACAUAGGCGACCUUAGAGGGGGAUCGGCCAACACGGGGACGAGACACGGCCCAGACUCCUACGGGAGGGAGCAGUAGGGAAUGUUGCGCAAAGGACGGAAAGUUGAACCAGGAACGGCGGGUGAGGGAAGAAGGUUUUCGGGUCGUAAAGACCUGUUGUAAGAGAAGAACGAGUGUGGGUAGGGAAAGAUCACACUGUGACGGUAUCUUACCAGAAAGGGACGGCUAACUACGUG